rnacentral:rRNA from 1 species
AGGAAUAUUGGUCAAUGGACGAGAGUCUGAACCAGCCAAGUAGCGUGAAGGAUGACUGCCCUAUGGGUUGUAAACUUCUUUUAUACGGGAAUAAAGUGAGGCACGUGUGCCUUUUUGUAUGUACCGUAUGAAUAAGGAUCGGCUAACUCCGUGCCAGCAGCCGCGGUAAUACGGAGGAUCCGAGCGUUAUCCGGAUUUAUUGGGUUUAAAGGGAGCGUAGGCGGACGCUUAAGUCAGUUGUGAAAGUUUGCGGCUCAACCGUAAAAUUGCAGUUGAUACUGGGUGUCUUGAGUACAGUAGAGGCAGGCGGAAUUCGUGGUGUAGCGGUGAAAUGCUUAGAUAUCACGAAGAACUCCGAUUGCGAAGGCAGCUUGCUGGACUGUAACUGACGCUGAUGCUCGAAAGUGUGGGUAUCAAACAGGAUUAGAUACCCUGGUAGUCCACACAGUAAACGAUGAAUACUCGCUGUUUGCGAUAUACAGUAAGCGGUCAAGCGAAAGCGUUAAGUAUUCCACCUGGGGAGUACGCCGGCAACGGUGAAACUCAAAGGAAUUGACGGGGGCCCGCACAAGCGGAGGAACAUGUGGUUUAAUUCGAUGAUACGCGAGGAACCUUACCCGGGCUUGAAUUGCAACUGAAUGAUGUGGAGACAUGUCAGCCGCAAGGCAGUUGUGAAGGUGCUGCAUGGUUGUCGUCAGCUCGUGCCGUGAGGUGUCGGCUUAAGUGCCAUAACGAGCGCAACCCUUAUCGAUAGUUACCAUCAGGUUAUGCUGGGGACUCUGUCGAGACUGCCGUCGUAAGAUGUGAGGAAGGUGGGGAUGACGUCAAAUCAGCACGGCCCUUACGUCCGGGGCUACACACGUGUUACAAUGGGGGGUACAGCAGGCAGCUACCGGGCGACCGGAUGCCAAUCCCGAAAGCCUCUCUCAGUUCGGACUGGAGUCUGCAACCCGACUCCACGAAGCUGGAUUCGCUAGUAAUCGCGCAUCAGCCACGGCGCGGUGAAUACGUUCCCG